CUCACCAACCUUCAGGAAAUUCCCCUGGUACGGUGCGUACGUUUAAAGCUGGAUCUUAUACUGUCACCAUUCAUGUUUUUCCAGUCAUUCUGAGUCUCACAUCAGAACGAAGUAGUCUGAGUUUCUGACAACAGUGGAACUUCCAGGAUGUCUUACUUGUGGAUACGUUUGAGUCUGCUGUGUGCUGCUACUAUUCUACAAAGUAAUGCUUCAAAUGGAGAUUCAAACGUGUCACUGAAGUGCAACGACACAGUGGAGGUUGUUGCUGGAGAAAAUGUGACACUAAACUGCAGCAUCAUUUACAAGCCUGGACUGUGUACAGGUCGUCAAUAUCACUGGAGUAACUCAAAUGGCAACAUACAGUGUAGCAGUAGCUUGAUUAAAUCCUUCUGUGGUUGGGACACUCAGACUUAUGUGUAUCUGACCAUCUCAAAUGUCAUCAAAGAGGAGAAUUACACCAUUAUAACACAUACAGACUGUGGCUUUCCUAAAAAAUCUAUCAAAGUACAAGUUAAACAAGACAGAACAACAACAGAAACAUCCAGAGGCCAAAGUUAUGAGUAUCUCGAGGCCACUGAGCUACCGCUGAGACACCAUGUGAUCACCCCUAUAUUGGGUAUUUUUUUCAUGCUUGCUGUUGUGGGUAUUUUGUAUUUCCUGUGUGGAACUAAUAGAGGCGGAUAAGUCAUCAGCCGAAUGAAGAAGGAAAGGACUCAGGGAGGAGACGACAGAGAACCGAGAAAUGAAAACUUGCUGAUAUCCUGACAAAUUCUGAAAUUUGUGUAUAAGCAUCUGUGUGUGUUCAAAUAUUUGUUGUUCAUGAAAGAUCAUCUUCACCCAGCUGGCUGUGUAGCUUCCUGCCUCUGAAAAAUCACACAUCAUGUUUAACUUUUUAUGGAGCUUUUUUUUCCUUCUAAUGACAUUUUCAGAAUUCUUUGGA